GCGCCUGUGGCCUAAUGGAUAAGGCGUUUGACUUCUAAUCAAGCGAUUGUGGGUUCGAGUCCCACCAGGCGUG
rnacentral:tRNA from 1 species